GUUACCAGCACGUUAUGGUGGGCACUCUAAGGAGACUGCCGGUGACAAACCGGAGGAAGGUGGGGAGUGACGUCAAGUCAUCAUGGCCCUUACGGCCUGGGCUACACACGUGCUACAAUGGUCGGUACAAAGGGUUGCCAAGCCGCGAGGUGGAGCUAAUCCCAUAAAACCGAUCGUAGUCCGGAUCGCAGUCUGCAACUCGACUGCGUGAAGUCGGAAUCGCUAGUAAUCGUGAAUCAGAAUGUCACGGUGAAUACGUUCCCGGGCCUU
rnacentral:rRNA from 1 species